rfam:Heterocephalus glaber contig252409, whole genome shotgun sequence.
GCAGAUGUAGCUUAGUGGUAGAGCAUUUGCCUCACAGGCUCAAGACCCUGGGUUCAAUCCCCAACACUGCA